rnacentral:lncRNA from 1 species
AUGGUGGGAAGAAUGCUGAAAUGCUUGGACUCUUCUAUCAAAGGAAAAGACAACAAUGAGCCACUUGGAUGGAAUUCUAAAUCUCAUAUCAUCCCCAUGAUCCAAGACCACUGCUAUGAAUCAACCACAAUCCAAACUAAUACCAUGUGCCACAGCACUAAACUAUAUGCAUAGAAAAAUUGAAUUAACGCAGUGGGACGUUCCUGGACCUUCAGGUUGCAGCUUCUCGGCAGAUUGAAUGAGUCAAGUCACCCUUCAUAGAAAUCAGCAAAAGCUAGACCAACCAUUAUGCUUUUCUGAGAACCCUAACUGACACAGGGUUCUGUCCUGCAAUGAGUUAACGUUCUAUAGAAAUGAAGUGGAAGCUAAUAAAAUGAAAAAAAUGUACA